UUCGGGAAUGGAUUAGUGGCGAACGGGUGAGGAACACGUGGGAAUCUGCCUUGUGGUUCAGGACAACAUUGGGAAACCGAUGCUAAUACCGGAUAAGUCCUAACGGAGAAAGUUUUAAUGCCAAAAGAUGAGCCCGCAUUUGAUUAGCUAGUUGGUAAGGUAAAAGCUUACCAAGGCGACAAUCAAUAGCUGAUUUGAGAGGAUGAUCAGCCACACUGGGACUGAGACACGGUCCAGACUCC
rnacentral:rRNA from 1 species